GGAUUUUCCUCAGUAAGGGCGACUGAAACGGGAAGAGCCCAGCGCAUAACCUGGCGGUCGGCCGCGGCCGUCCAGGGGUGUUGCGUUCCGGUGCGUGCUUGCCGCCCGAGUUGCUCACCGCCUAAGUCAUUGCUUGAAAGCAGCCCCGAGGAGGGUGAUAGGCCCGUGUGGCGGCGCCUGUAAAAAGGGUGAAGGCGGCUCGGGCGGGCGGACGUCCACCGUAGAGUCGGGUUGCUUAGUACUGCAGCCCUAAGCAGGUGGUAAACUCCAUCUAAGGCUAAAUACUACCACGAGUCCGAUAGAGAACAAGUACCGUGAGGGAAAGCUGAAAAGGACUUUGAAGAGAGAGUUCAAUAGGACGUGAAACCGUUAGAAGCUUAAACGGGUGGAACCGCGAAGGUUGAACGAGGGGAUUCAGCUCGCCGGUGCCCGGAGUGCGGAUGGCGGGUCAGACAUGUUUUGACGACGGGACCCGGCGCGAGAGUGCUGCCGGGCCCCGCCGCCGCCUCCGGGCCUUCGGGCGGGCUUACUUCUCCCUCGGGAGGUCGCCGCGACCCGUUGUCGGGGGCCCCAGGGCCGUGUCGCAUUGGUAGCCCGGGCCUGCAAGGGCCCGGGUGACGAGUGGCUGCGGUUCCGUCGGCCGCCGGCGGCGGUGUUGCAGGGGGGCCGCGUUGAGCGGCCCCUCGCGGCGUGCAAGGGAUCGGACAUCCACCCGACCCGUCUUGAAACACGGACCAAGGAGUCC
rnacentral:rRNA from 1 species